rnacentral:rRNA from 1 species
UGGGGAAUAUUGCACAAUGGGCGCAAGCCUGAUGCAGCCAUGCCGCGUGUGUGAAGAAGGCCUUCGGGUUGUAAAGCACUUUCAGCGAGGAGGAAGGCGGUGAGCUUAAUACGCUCAUCAAUUGACGUUACUCGCAGAAGAAGCACCGGCUAACUCCGUGCCAGCAGCCGCGGUAAUACGGAGGGUGCAAGCGUUAAUCGGAAUUACUGGGCGUAAAGCGCACGCAGGCGGUUUGUUAAGUCAGAUGUGAAAUCCCCGGGCUCAGCCUGGGAACUGCAUUUGAAACUGGCAAGCUAGAGUCUCGUAGAGGGGGGUAGAAUUCCAGGUGUAGCGGUGAAAUGCGUAGAGAUCUGGAGGAAUACCGUGGCGAAGGCGCCCCCUGANGAAGACUGACGCUCAGGUGCGAAAGCGUGGGGAGCAAAACAGGAUUAGAUACCCUGGUAGUCCACGCUGUAAACGAUGUCGAUUGGAGGUUGUGCCCUUGAGGCGUGGCUUCCGGAGCUAACGCGUUAAAUCGACCGCCUGGGGAGUACGGUCGCAAGAUUAAAAGCUCAAAUGAAUUG